GAGGUUAAGCGACUAAGCGUACACGGUGGAUGCCCUGGCAGUCAGAGGCGAUGAAGGACGUGCUAAUCUGCGAUAAGCGCCGGUAAGGUGAUAUGAACCGUUAUAACCGGCGAUUUCCGAAUGGGGAAACCCAGUGUGACUCGUCACACUAUCAUUAACUGAAUCCAUAGGUUAAUGAGGCGAACCGGGGGAACUGAAACAUCUAAGUACCCCGAGGAAAAGAAAUCAACCGAGAUUCCCCCAGUAGCGGCGAGCGAACGGGGAGGAGCCCAGAGCCUGAAUCAGCAUGUGUGUUAGUGGAAGCGUCUGGAAAGGCGCGCGAUACAGGGUGACAGCCCCGUACACAAAAGCGCAUGUGCUGUGAGCUCGAUGAGUAGGGCGGGACACGUGGUAUCCUGUCUGAAUAUGGGGGGACCAUCCUCCAAGGCUAAAUACUCCUGACUGACCGAUAGUGAACCAGUACCGUGAGGGAAAGGCGAAAAGAACCCCGGCGAGGGGAGUGAAAAAGAACCUGAAACCGU
rnacentral:rRNA from 3 species